rnacentral:rRNA from 1 species
UGUACACGCUGUGACUAGCAUAUCAAUAAGCGGAGGAAAAGAAACUAACAAGGAUUCCCCUAGUAACGGCGAGUGAAGCGGGAAGAGCUCAAAUUUGAAAUCUUAAAGGGUUUCCCUUUACGAAUUGUAGUUUAAAGAAGUGUUUUCUGUUGAGGUUUUGGUAAAAGUUCUUUGGAAUAGGACAUCAUAGAGGGUGAGAAUCCCGUAUUUGACCUUUACUUUCAACUUUGUGAUACACUUUCAAAGAGUCGGAUUGUUUGGGAAUGCAGUCCAAAAUGGGUGGUAAAUUUCAUCUAAAGCUAAAUAUUGGCGAGAGACCGAUAGCGAACAAGUACCGUGAGGGAAAGAUGAAAAGAACUUUGAAAAGAGAGUUAAACAGUACGUGAAAUUGUCAAAAGGGAAGCGUUUGACACCAGUGUUGUUUUUCUGAAAAUCAAUUAAAGAACUGUUUAUGCUAAGCUGUUUAGACUUUAUCAGCUAUCUGUUUAGUUUUGAGCUUUUCUUUGAUGCACUUUUCAGUUAACAAGUCGACAUCAAUUUCUUUUGCUGUAAAAAAGCUUGAGGAAGGUGGCUUGAGAUUCGUCUUAAGUGUUUAUAGCCUCUUGCCUAUGCAGUCGGAGAGAUUGAGGUCUGCAGCGUAGAUCCUUCGGGGCUAAAUGCAUUUGUGCUAAGUUAUAGCAUUUUCAUCGACAACUUGUUGACUAUGAUUUGUCUUGUAGCUUACUCGCUUAUGUUAUUUUACCUACGCUUAGGAUGUUGAAGUCAUCGUAUCGCGC